UAACAAUGGACGGUUUCAAAGUACAUUUAUUACGUUAUUUUUUUUUUAACGCUUCUCCGGCCAGUUGUGUUGUUAUUCUUGGUUCCAUCGAGUGUGUGUGUGUGUAAUACGUGUGAAAUAUAUGGUAUAGUCAGUCGUUCAGUAUUACAUAAAUAUUUAACGAAUUUUUUGGGUUGAUUUAUUCAUUGAAGAUGUAUUUUUUCACCACGGUCCCAAAAUUAAUUACAAAUGUUGGAGAGAACAAAAUUAGAUCAUUGGAGCACAGCAGUUUUUGAAUAUUUUAAUCAAACAACAGAUUAAACGGUGCACCGUAUGGAAAACAACGGCGACGGAAUUAUCAUUAAAAUUCGAAGUAUAAUUUCACAGAACAGUGGGUAAAUGAAUCUUUUUGGUUCGAGCAUUAUAUUAUAGGCCCACGAUCCUAUAUGUAUAAGUACAGCAUAGUGAGCAAGUACUGUAACCAUACAUUCACGAGCGCCUACAAGUGUGUACGCGAAACUCUAGUAGUUAAACAUAUCAUAGAGCGAACAAUAGCCAAUAAUUUCAACAGAACAAACCACACAUCGAGACAGCAAACCGAUGUUAACGUAUGCUUUCCGUAUCCAACUCUCUACACACAUAUCCGCACUACCACGGACUACCACAAAACUACGACAUUUUGUACUGUAUAUGUUAUAUACAGCUGAUGAUAUCUGCAGAUCGUCUCAUAGAACAGUCAUAACGAUCCGUGCAGAAUUUAACCCGAAGUAGGAAGAAUAGCUUACUUGGAAGACUUUUGAUUAAGAAGCAACGAACCAGAUCACAUAGCCUUGAACGAUUAAAUCGGCGCAUCGCAUAUUCUCGGACAUGUCUGCUGCACGCGAGUAUUAUGAUAAUAUUAUACACGUAAGCGCCUCUUCAUAUUCAUAAGCGACGUUAAAUCUACCGAGACCAA